UACGAAGGGGGCUAGCGUUGUUCGGAUUUACUGGGCGUAAAGCGCACGUAGGCGGAUCGUUAAGUGAGGGGUGAAAUCCCAGGGCUCAACCCUGGAACUGCCUUUCAUACUGGCGAUCUCGAGUCCGGAAGAGGUGAGUGGAACUCCUAGUGUAGAGGUGGAAUUCGUAGAUAUUAGGAAGAACACCAGUGGCGAAAGGCGGCUCACUGGUCCGGUACUGACGCUGAGGUGCGAAGCGUGGGAGCAAACAGG
rnacentral:rRNA from 1 species